rnacentral:rRNA from 1 species
GACAGAGGGUGCAAACGUUGUUCGGAAUUACUGGGCGUAAAGCGUGUGUAGGCGGCCACAUAAGUCGGAUGUGAAAGCCCCCAGGCUCAACCUGGGAAGUGCACUCGAUACUGUGUGGCUCGAGUAUCGGAGAGGUUGGUGGAAUUCUCGGUGUAGAGGUGAAAUUCGUAGAUAUCGAGAGGAACACCGGUGGCGAAGGCGGCCAACUGGACGAAUACUGACGCUGAGACACGAAAGCGUGGGGGAGCAAACAGG